rnacentral:misc_RNA from 1 species
CCGAGCUCGCGCCCACCCGGGGCGACCUCCCCCCCGUGUGUAUUCUUACCCUGUUGCUUUGGCGAGCCGCCCCCCCUGAGGGGCCUUGCGCGCUCGUCGAAGGCCCUCAAAAACCCUGUUCGUCAGUGUCGUCUGAGCGUGAUAUAAUAGUUAA